rnacentral:rRNA from 1 species
GUUGCGCGGCCUACCAUGCAGUCGACGGAAACAUGUCUAGCUUGCUAGAUGAUGUCGAGUGGCGGACGGGUGAGUAAUGCUUGGGAACUUGCCUUUGCGAGGGGGAUAACAGUUGGAAACGACUGCUAAUACCGCAUAAUGUCUACGGACCAAACAGGGCUUCGGCUCUGGCGCAAAGAGAGGCCCAAGUGAGAUUAGCUAGUUGGUGAGGUAAAGGCUCACCAAGGCAACGAUCUCUAGCUGUUCUGAGAGGAAGAUCAGCCACACUGGGACUGAGACACGGCCCAGACUCCUACGGGAGGCAGCAGUGGGGAAUAUUGCACAAUGGGGGAAACCCUGAUGCAGCCAUGCCGCGUGUGUGAAGAAGGCCUUCGGGUUGUAAAGCACUUUCAGUUGUGAGGAAAAGUUAGUAGUUAAUACCUGCUAGCCGUGACGUUAACAACAGAAGAAGCACCGGCUAACUCCGUGCCAGCAGCCGCGGUAAUACGGAGGGUGCGAGCGUUAAUCGGAAUUACUGGGCGUAAAGCGCACGCAGGCGGUUUGUUAAGCUAGAUGUGAAAGCCCCGGGCUCAACCUGGGACGGUCAUUUAGAACUGGCAGACUAGAGUCUUGGAGAGGGGAGUGGAAUUCCAGGUGUAGCGGUGAAAUGCGUAGAUAUCUGGAGGAACAUCAGUGGCGAAGGCGACUCCCUGGCCAAAGACUGACGCUCAUGUGCGAAAGUGUGGGUAGCGAACAGGAUUAGAUACCCUG